UACGAGGGGGUCCAAGCGUUGUUCGGAUUCACUGGGCGUAAAGGGUGCGUAGGUGGUCGGGUAAGUCCGAUGUGAAAUCUCCAGGCUCACCUGGAAAUGGCAUUGGAUACUAUCCGGCUUGAGGAGUGGAGGGGGGGACUGGAAUUCUCGGUGUAGCAGUGAAAUGCGCAGAUAUCAGGAGGAACACCGGUGGCGAAGGCGGGUCUCUGGGCCGAUACUGACGCUGAGGAGCGAAAGCGUGGGGAGCGAACAGG
rnacentral:rRNA from 1 species